UACGUAGGGGGCAAGCGUUGUCCGGAAUCAUUGGGCGUAAAGAGCGUGUAGGCGGCCCGAUAAGUCCGCUGUGAAAGUCCAGGGCUCAACCCUGGGAUGCCGGUGGAUACUGUCGGGCUCGAGUCCGGAAGAGGAGAGUGGAAUUCCUGGUGUAGCGGUGAAAUGCGCAGAUAUCAGGAGGAACACCAAUGGCGAAGGCAGCACUCUGGGACGUGACUGACGCUGAGACGCGAAAGCGUGGGGAGCAAACAGG
rnacentral:rRNA from 1 species